rnacentral:rRNA from 1 species
UAUAAAGUCUAAUCUGCCCAAUGAGGAUUUAAAUGGCCGCGGUAUUUUGACCGUGCAAAGGUAGCAUAAUAAUUAGUUUUUUAAUUGAAAGCUGGAAUGAAAGAUUGGACGAGAGAAUUGCUGUCUCUAGUUAAUUUAUUUUAAAUUUUAUUUUUAAGUAAAAAAGCUUAGAUUUAUUUGAAAGACGAGAAGACCCUAUAGAGUUUUAUAAGUUAUUUUUAUAUUAAUUAAUAGGGAUUUUUUGUUAAUAUAAUUUAUUUUAUUUUGUUGGGGUGAUAGAAAGAUUUGAUGAACUUUUUUUAUUUAUGAGCAUUAAUUUAGGUUAUUUAUCCAAUAGUUUGAUUGCAAGAUUUAAUUACCUUAGGGAUAACNGCGUAAUUAUUUUUAG